UCUUGAACUCCCGACCGCCCGCCUUGGCCUCCCAAAGUGUUGGGAUUACAGGCGUAAGCCACCGCGCCUGGCUGGGACUAAUAUUCUAUGAAGGCUGCCAGCCUGGGGCUAAGCACCUAGCUUUUCCAAAUGUUGACAUGUUUUCUCUAUAGCCCUACCUGAUGGACUGGACUUCUGCCUGGAUUGGAGUUUGAUCAUGCCUCCAUAUGGGUGUUUACCAGGCGUAUGCAUUGAACCUGAGUUUGUCUCUUCAAUACAAGGAAAAUGUCCUUGGAGUUUCAACAUUUCUUUGGUCUUCCACAUUUCAUUUUGUCCUGAUUAAAGAGGAAGCCAGUUGCUGUUUGUGUGGCCAUGUGAGCAGGCAGGGAGAUGGUGGCUGCCUAGAAGCCAAGAGAAGUGGCCUCAAGAUGAAAUCUACCUUGCUGGUACUUUGAUCUUGGACUUGCAGCCUCCAGAACUGUGAGGCUUGUCCAUUUUAAUGAGAAGCUUAUGUGGCAUGGAACUGAGUUCACCCCCAACCAGCAGCUGGUGAGGAAUGGAGCUCUUCGUUCAAUGACUCAUAAUGAGCUUUGAGACAACCAAAGCCCCCUAGCUAACCUGUGCCUGGAUUCCUGGCCCACAAAGACAGUGAGAGAGGGACCCAACUCAGCCCAUGAAGCCACUGAAAUACAGGAAAGAGCAUCUUCAUUGAAGCCACUGGAGCAUGGGAAAGAGCACCACCAGCUCCCUGCUCGCUAGCUGUGAACCUCAGGAUGGAAUAGAAGAUGGAUAAAAAGCUUCUACUGCAGCCUGGGCCCAGUUCACUUUCUCUCUUGGCUCCAAUCCUGGUGGACACAGUAGGGGCUCCUCAAAAGCUCCACCCAUCACCUCCUUGAAUCACUGCAUCAUCUACUUCACACUGGGGCACAGACAAUUGGAUGGCUUCUUUGAUCUCUGUCUAGCACUUGAUCGUAAGUAUUGGAUUUGAAAACCUAACUUUAAAUAAUGUGAGGAAGAGGAUCCAAGGUAUGUUUUAUUUCAACAUAUUAAAAAUGGAUAUCAGAUAUAAAAAUACUGGUUAAGUUAUAUAAGUAGAAUUGUUUCCAGACCAUAUUGUGUAUUAAUUAUAUCCUAGUUCAUAGCCAUAAAACAAUAUUUUAUUAUACUACAUUUCCGGUGGUCACUGAGCAUCCAUGAGUAUAGUAAGUGGAAAAAUGGUAAAAUCUGCAAAAUGGUUCUAUAUUAGAUUUUAUUAAAUAAGAGAAGCAACAACUUAAAUCAGACUCAAAAAAUCAAAAUAAUUUGGCUCCUUUAAAAAGCAAAGAAAGAUCAACAAAAAACUAACAUUUGGCCGAGGUAGCUUGCUCCCUUGUGGAUUCAGAGCUGAAAGUUACUGAAGACAUAUCAGUACAAAUGUGCACAUUAGAUAAUUCC
rnacentral:lncRNA from 1 species